rnacentral:rRNA from 1 species
AUUGAACGCUGGCGGCAUGCCUUACACAUGCAAGUCGAACGGCAGCACGGAGCUUGCUCUGGUGGCGAGUGGCGAACGGGUGAGUAAUAUAUCGGAACGUACCCUAGAGUGGGGGAUAACGUAGCGAAAGUUACGCUAAUACCGCAUACGAUCUAAGGAUGAAAGUGGGGGAUCGCAAGACCUCAUGCUCGUGGAGCGGCCGAUAUCUGAUUAGCUAGUUGGUAGGGUAAAAGCCUACCAAGGCAUCGAUCAGUAGCUGGUCUGAGAGGACGACCAGCCACGCUGGAACUGAGACACGGUCCAGACUCCUACGGGAGGCAGCAGUGGGGAAUUUUGGACAAUGGGCGAAAGCCUGAUCCAGCAAUGCCGCGUGAGUGAAGAAGGCCUUCGGGUUGUAAAGCUCUUUUGUCAGGGAAGAAACGGUGAGAGCUAAUAUCUCUUGCUAAUGACGGUACCUGAAGAAUAAGCACCGGCUAACUACGUGCCAGCAGCCGCGGUAAUACGUAGGGUGCAAGCGUUAAUCGGAAUUACUGGGCGUAAAGCGUGCGCAGGCGGUUUUGUAAGUCUGAUGUGAAAUCCCCGGGCUCAACCUGGGAAUUGCAUUGGAGACUGCAAGGCUAGAAUCUGGCAGAGGGGGGUAGAAUUCCACGUGUAGCAGUGGAAUGCGUAGAUAUGUGGAGGAACACCGAUGGCGAAGGCAGCCCCCUGGGUCAAGAUUGACGCUCAUGCACGAAAGCGUGGGGAGCAAACAGGAUUAGAUACCCUGGUAGUCCACGCCCUAAACGAUGUCUACUAGUUGUCGGGUCUUAAUUGACUUGGUAACGCAGCUAACGCGUGAAGUAGACCGCCUGGGGAGUACGGUCGCAAGAUUAAAACUCAAAGGAAUUGACGGGGACCCGCACAAGCGGUGGAUGAUGUGGAUUAAUUCGAUGCAACGCGAAAAACCUUACCUACCCUUGACAUGGCUGGAAUCCUUGAGAGAUCAGGGAGUGCUCGAAAGAGAACCAGUACACAGGUGCUGCAUGGCUGUCGUCAGCUCGUGUCGUGAGAUGUUGGGUUAAGUCCCGCAACGAGCGCAACCCUUGUCAUUAGUUGCUACGAAAGGGCACUCUAAUGAGACUGCCGGUGACAAACCGGAGGAAGGUGGGGAUGACGUCAAGUCCUCAUGGCCCUUAUGGGUAGGGCUUCACACGUCAUACAAUGGUACAUACAGAGCGCCGCCAACCCGCGAGGGGGAGCUAAUCGCAGAAAGUGUAUCGUAGUCCGGAUUGUAGUCUGCAACUCGACUGCAUGAAGUUGGAAUCGCUAGUAAUCGCGGAUCAGCAUGUCGCGGUGAAUACGUUCCCGGGUCU